rnacentral:tmRNA from 1 species
GGGGGCGUUUUUAGAUUCGCUCGGGGAAAUGGUGACAAAAGUUGCACGUCGAUAUUCCACCUGGUCUCGCUAAAUGGUGGACAAAAAUAGUUAACAAAAAUAAUUACGCUCUAGUAGCCUAAGUGCCGCUAGCAUCCUGCCUUCAAGACCUAUGAUGAGGGUCAGGGUGUCAAAUUAGUAGGACGCUCUAAUGUCAAUGCUCGUAGAUAUAGCUAAGAUCAUCAAAGCUAGCCUGAUAUGAAUCCUUGCCUUUAGGAGUCAAGAAAGGCGAACUUAAUUUAAAUGCUACACGCGUAGACGCUUUUUGUGGUAGUUCUUCCAUACAAGGGUGCAAUUCCCCUCGCCCCCACUA